rnacentral:rRNA from 1 species
CCUACGGGAGGCAGCAGCGGGGAAUAUUGGGCAAUGGGCGAAAGCCUGACCCAGCAACGCCGCGUGAAGGAAGAAGGCUUUCGGGUUGUAAACUUCUUUUGUCAAGGGACAAAAUCAGGCUCGAGAGCCUGACCGAGGGUACUUGAAGAAAAAGCAUCGGCUAACUCCGUGCCAGCAGCCGCGGUAAUACGGAGGAUGCGAGCGUUAUCCGGAUUUAUUGGGUUUAAAGGGUGCGUAGGCGGGCUGUUAAGUCAGCGGUAAAAGCCCGGGGCUCAACCCCGGCGAGCCGUUGAAACUGGCUGUCGUGAGAUGUCGAGAGGUAUGCGGAAUGCGCAGUGUAGCGGUGAAAUGCUUAGAUAGUGCGCAGAACUCCGAUUGCGAAGGCAGCAUACCGGCGGCGAUCUGACGCUGAGGCACGAAAGCGUGGGUAUCGAACAGGAUUAGAUACCCGGGUAGUC